rnacentral:rRNA from 1 species
AUCGAACGCUGGCGGCAGGCCUAACACAUGCAAGUCGAGCGAGCGGCGGACGGGUGAGGAAUGUAUGGGGACUGCCCGUUAGAGGGGGAUAACUACUGGAAACGGUAGCGAAUACCGCAUACUAUCGGAUAACCCAUAUGGGAUUAGCUAGUAGGUGAGGUAAUGGCCCACCUAGGCGACGAUCCCUAGCUGUUCUGAGAGGAUGAUCAGCCACACUGGGACUGAGACACGGCCCAGACUCCUACGGAGGCAGCAGUAGGGAAUCUUGCGCAAUGGGCGCAAGCCUGAUGCAGCCAUGCCGCGUGUAUGAAGAAGGCCCUCGGGUUGUAAAGUUCUUUCAGUCGGGAAGCGUUACCGACAGAAGAAGCCCCGGCUAACUCCGUGCCAGCAGCCGCGGUAAUUC